GUAGAACACCAGUUGAUAUUUACUGAAGCCUUAUGGCUUCUAAUACUUCCAUACAACUUGAGGGCAGCCCCUAACAGUAAUUCACCCAGUUAUACUAGGUAGACAAUGAUGAAUGCUAUAAUGGGACUAGAAGCACAGUGCCUGGGAAUUAUCAAGGGUGAGAGAGAUUACUUCCAGCAUGGAGGAACCAAGAAAGGCUCCAAGGAAGAGGUGAGAUGCAAUCAGAGCUGUGAAGGACGCGAGAAGUUUGCUCUGGAGGCAAAGUCAAUUCACAGCCCCUGGGGAAAUAAUGCUGAGGAGUCUUCAGGGAUCAGAUGUCAGCUCUGAGACAGGUAUCAUUACCAUCCUCAUAUCAGAACGGAGGAGGCUCAGCUGAUAGAGCUCCAGUAAGUUUCACAAAGCCGCACAUAAGGAAGGCAGAGCGAAAGGUUGAAUUCACAUCUUUCUGACUCUAAAAGUUUGUGCUGUUAACAUUAUCAGGCUUAGCAUAAUGACUGAUAGUCAUUCAUUAUGAAAGUUACCCACAGAGGAAUGAAUGGACUGUAUCACUAAACACUUGGUUCUUUACCUCUGUAGAGGUGUCCAACUAAAUGCCCGGAAGGGUUUCUUCAUGAGUGGUGUGACUGUAAUUUAUAAUAAAUAUU